UAGGGAAUCUUCCACAAUGGGCGAAAGCCUGAUGGAGCAACGCCGCGUGUGUGAUGAAGGGUUUCGGCUCGUAAAACACUGUUGUAAGAGAAGAAUGACAUUGAGAGUAACUGUUCAAUGUGUGACGGUAUCUUACCAGAAAGGAACGGCUAACUACGUGCCGG
rnacentral:rRNA from 1 species